rnacentral:rRNA from 1 species
GGGGUCCCCCACAAGCGAUGGAGCAUGUCUUUUUAGUUCCGAGCAACGCGCAGAACCUUACCAGCCCUUGACAUGUCCGGCUAUCCAGAGAGAUUUGGAGUUCCCUUCGGGGACCGGAGCACAGGUGCUGCAUGGCUGUCGUCAGCUCGUGUCGUGAGAUGUUGGGUUAAGUCCCGCAACGAGCGCAACCCUCGCCCUUAGUUGCCAGCAUUCAGUUGGGCACUCUAGGGGGACUGCCGGUGAUAAGCCGAGAGGAAGGUGGGGAUGACGUCAAGUCCUCAUGGCCCUUACGGGCUGGGCUACACACGUGCUACAAUGGUGGUGACAGUGGGCAGCGAAGGAGCGAUCCUGAGCUAAUCUCCAAAAGCCAUCUCAGUUCGGAUUGCACUCUGCAACUCGAGUGCAUGAAGUUGGAAUCGCUAGUAAUCGCGGAUCAGCACGCCGCGGUGAAUACGUUCCCGGGCCUUGUACACACCGCCCGCCACACCAUGGGAGUUGGUCUUACCCGACGGCGCCGCGCCAACCGCAAGGGGCAGGUGUACCUACGGUACUACACAGAACGAC